rnacentral:miRNA from 1 species
UAUAUAAAUCAAGUAUGCAAAGUUUUAAAAAUUUUAAAAACUAUUUAAUACUUCAUUUCUUAAUUCAAAUUAAUGGAUUAUGAUAAAAAUAUUUUAUACAUUAAUUUGAAUUUAUAAAAGGGAACAUCAAAUAGUUUUCAAAAUUUUCAAAACUUUGCAAAUUUGAUCUAUGUA